rnacentral:rRNA from 1 species
CCUACGGGAGGCAGCAGUGGGGAAUUUUGGACAAUGGGCGCAAGCCUGAUCCAGCCAUUCCGCGUGAGUGAAGAAGGCCUUCGGGUUGUAAAGCUCUUUCGCAAGAGAAGAAAACUUACUUUCUAAUAAAGAGUGAGGUUGACGGUAUCUUGAUAAGAAGCACCGGCUAACUACGUGCCAGCAGCCGCGGUAAUACGUAGGGUGCGAGCGUUAAUCGGAAUUACUGGGCGUAAAGCGUGCGCAGGCUGUUUUGUAGGCCAGAUGUGAAAUCCCCGAGCUCAACUUGGGAACUGCGUUUGAAACUACAAGACUAGAAUAUGUCAGAGGGGGGUAGAAUUCCACGUGUAGCAGUGAAAUGCGUAGAGAUGUGGAGGAAUACCAAUGGCGAAGGCAGCCCCCUGGGAUAAUAUUGACGCUCAUGCACGAAAGCGUGGGGAGCAAACAGGAUUAGAUACCCUGGUAGUCCACGCCCUAAACGAUGUCUACUAGUUGUUGGUGGAGUAAAAUCCAUGAGUAACGCAGCUAACGCGUGAAGUAGACCGCCUGGGGAGUCGGUGCAAGNUUAAAACUUAAGGAAUUGACGG